rnacentral:rRNA from 1 species
AUUGAACGCUGGCGGCAGGCCUAACACAUGCAAGUCGAACGAGUGGCGGACGGGUGAGUAAUGUCUGGGAAACUGCCUGAUGGAGGGGGAUAACUACUGGAAACGGUAGCUAAUACCGCAUACCAUCGGAUGUGCCCAGAUGGGAUUAGCUAGUAGGUGGGGUAAAGGCUCACCUAGGCGACGAUCCCUAGCUGGUCUGAGAGGAUGACAGGCCACACGGGAACUGGGACACGGGCCAGACUCCUAGGGAAGGCAGCGGGGGGGAAUAUUGCAAAAUGGGCGCAAGCCUGAGGCAGCCAGGCCGCGUGUAUGAAGAAGGCCUGCGGGUUGUAAAGUACUUGCAGCGGGGAGGCGUUACCCGCAGAAGAAGCACCGGCUAACUCCGUGCCAGCAGCCGCGGUAAUU